CUGCGGAGGGAUCAUUACUGAGUUUACGCUCUACAACCCUUUGUGAACAUACCUAUAACUGUUGCUUCGGCGGGCAGGGUCUCCGUGACCCUCCCGGCCUCCCGCCCCCGGGCGGGUCGGCGCCCGCCGGAGGAUAACCAAACUCUGAUUUAACGACGUUUCUUCUGAGUGGUACAAGCAAAUAAUCAAAACUUUUAACAACGGAUCUCUUGGUUCUGGCAUCGAUGAAGAACGCAGCGAAAUGCGAUAAGUAAUGUGAAUUGCAGAAUUCAGUGAAUCAUCGAAUCUUUGAACGCACAUUGCGCCCGCCAGCAUUCUGGCGGGCAUGCCUGUUCGAGCGUCAUUUCAACCCUCAAGCUCUGCUUGGUGUUGGGGCCCUACAGCCGAUGUAGGCCCUCAAAGGUAGUGGCGGACCCUCCCGGAGCCUCCUUUGCGUAGUAACUUUACGUCUCGCACUGGGAUCCGGAGGGACUCUUGCCGUAAAACCCCCAAUUCUCCAAAGGUUGACCUCGGAUCAGGUAGGAAUACCCGCUGAACUUAAGCAU
rnacentral:rRNA from 1 species